rnacentral:rRNA from 1 species
AGUGAACGCUGGCGGUAGGCCUAACACAUGCAAGUCGAACGGCAGCACAGGAGAGCUUGCUCUCUGGGUGGCGAGUGGCGGACGGGUGAGGAAUACAUCGGAAUCUACUUUUUCGUGGGGGAUAACGUAGGGAAACUUACGCUAAUACCGCAUACGACCUACGGGUGAAAGCAGGGGCACUUCGGACCUUGCGCGAUUGAAUGAGCCGAUGUCGGAUUAGCGAGUUGAGGGGGUAAAGGCCCACCAAGGGGACGAUCCGUAGCUGGUCUGAGAGGAUGAUCAGCCACACUGGAACUGAGACACGGUCCAGACUCCUACGGGAGGAAGCAGUGGGGAAUAUUGGACAAUGGGAGAAAGCCUGAUCCAGCCAUACCGCGUGGGUGAAGAAGGCCUUCGGGUUGUAAAGCCCUUUUGUUGGGAAAGAAAUCCAGCUGGUUAAUACCCGGUUGGGAUGACGGUACCCAAAGAAUAAGCACCGGCUAACUUCGUGCCAGCCGCCGCGGUAA